rnacentral:rRNA from 1 species
GGAGGAAAGCAGGGGAUCGUAAGACCUCGCGUUAUUAGAGCGGCCGAUAUCUGAUUAGCUAGUUGGUGAGGUAAAGGCUCACCAAGGCGACGAUCAGUAGCUGGUCUGAGAGGACGACCAGCCACACUGGAACUGAGACACGGUCCAGACUCCUACGGGAGGCAGCAGUGGGGAAUUUUGGACAAUGGGCGCAAGCCUGAUCCAGCCAUUCCGCGUGAGUGAAGAAGGCCUUCGGGUUGUAAAGCUCUUUCGCAAGGGAAGAAACGAUUCAUCCUAAUACGGUGAGUUAAUGACGGUACCUUGAUAAGAAGCACCGGCUAACUACGUGCCAGCAGCCGCGGUAAUACGUAGGGUGCGAGCGUUAAUCGGAAUUACUGGGCGUAAAGCGUGCGCAGGCGG